rnacentral:rRNA from 1 species
UACGGAGGGUGCGAGCGUUGUCCGGAAUCACUGGGCGUAAAGGGCGCGUAGGCGGCCUGAUAAGUAGGGGGUGAAAUCCUGCGGCUUAACCGCAGGGCUGCCUUCUAAACUGUCAGGCUUGAGCACAGUAGAGGCAGGUGGAAUUCCCGGUGUAGCGGUGGAAUGCGUAGAGAUCGGGAAGAACAUCAGUGGCGAAGGCGGCCUGCUGGGCUGUUGCUGACGCUGAGGCGCGACAGCGGUGGGGAGC